AGAAUUGUCUGGUUAAUGCCGUUCACUAACGAGACCACAGCCUACUAAAUAGUACGUGUUAUGUUAACAUAGUAUGAGACUUCUUAGGGGGACAUUUCGGGUUUACCGAAAGGAAGUUUGUGGCAAUAACAGGUCUGUGAUGCCCUUAGAUGUUCUGGGCCGCACGCGCGCUACACUGACGACUUCAACAAGUUUUUUGGCAUUGCCAAAUUUCCUUGGCCGGAAGGUCUGGGUAAUCUUUUAAAAGGUCGUCGUGAUGGGGCUAGAUUCUUGCAAUUAUUAAUCUCCAACGAGGAACC
rnacentral:rRNA from 1 species